rnacentral:rRNA from 1 species
CGCCCGGGUAUUACGAGCUUUAGCUUAAAACCCAAAGGACUUGACGGUGUCCCAUCCACCUAGAGGAGCCUGUUCCAUCAUCGAUAAUCCCCGCUACACCUAACCACCCCUUGCCAAUCAGUCUGUAUACCUCCGUCGUAAACUUACCAUGUGAAUGCCCACAGUAAGUUUAAUGGCUAUCAACCACCAAUACGUCAGGUCAAGGUGCAGCUCAUGGGGCGGCAGGCAAUGGGCUACAAUUUCUAUUCUAGAACAGACGAAACGCUACAUGAAAUAAAGCCACGAAGGCGGAUUUAGUAGUAAAAAGAAAAUAGCGCGUUCUUUUUAAUUAGGCCCUGGGACGUGU